AGGACGAACGCUGGCGGCGUGCUUAAACAUGCAAGUCGAACGAGGUCCAUGGGUUCGCAAGAACCCGGAAGACCGAGUGGCGAACGGGUGCGUAACACGUGAGGAACCUGCCCCAGAGACCGGGAUAACCCUCCGAAAGGAGAGCUAAUACCGGAUGUGCUCAUCGGAUCACCUGGUCUGAUGAGGAAAUGGAUUCCGCUCUGGGAUGGCCUCGCGGCCUAUCAGCUUGUUGGUGGGGUAACGGCCUACCAAGGCGACGACGGGUAGCUGGUCUGAGAGGACGAUCAGCCACACUGGGACUGAGACACGGCCCAGACUCCUACGGGAGCAGCAGUGGGGAAUUUUGGACAA
rnacentral:rRNA from 1 species